CCCUCUUUCAAUCUCACGCAGAAGAAGAAAAAAAGAACAAGAACAACUUCUUCAUUUUCUCUCAAUUUCGCCCAUGGUGAACAACAACAAAAACGAAACUUCUUAAAUUCGUGGUGUUCUCUUAUUCUUUUGCUCUUGCGGUUUUCUCUUUCUCUCGUGGUCUCUUAAUAAACAAUACGGUGGUGGAAGUUAUGAAGGUGUGGUGGAGAUCACGGCGGCCAUGGAAGUAUACGGAGGAGCUUGCCGGAAAUCAUAGGAACCAUCUUUCAAUCUGUAACCCAAUUUCACUCACAAACAGAAGUGAAAACUCAGGUACAACAACAACAGUGACUUGGCCUCAUUUCGAUCGAUUAACUCUCUUUGAAUCGUUAUUUUUGCUCUGUGAAUAACAAUAACAAUGCUCAACCAAUCUCUCUUGGUUUCACGGCAGCCAUGGGUGAACAAGAAGUUAUUUUAAAGGUAUGGUUCUCACAAAUUUUGUUUCUAUGGCGCAAUUCAGUUUCUUAUGACAGUAGCAACAAUAACUUGUGCUUUCUUGUUUUUUCCGGUUUUGAGCAAAUUAUAAGUAAAGAACAAAUAACAGUGAUACCAAAAGUGGUAGGAGAACCGAAUUACCUGCGGCGAGGAGGAUUUCGCCGGUUUUAAUUGCUAAGGUACAACACUGAUUAAUGGAAAUAUUGAGAGUGAAAGCAGAAAGACUUACCUAUGGCGAGGAGGUUUUCGCCGGAUUAUCGUUGAGGCUUUUGAUGAAGGUGAUGCCAUAACACCUCUUUGGAUAUUAGGGAGACUUGAAGAUGGACUUCAAGUUGGAACUCUCCACCAAGGUAUGAAGAAUUUCUUAUUCACUCCCCUUCAAGAAAUAUGUAGCUAGAAACUCUUAUUUUUUCAAGUAGUUUUCUUUGAUUUGAAGAAUUUCUCCUUCUAACAAAGAAACAUGAAAACUAUAAGAGAAGAGGAAGAAGUGAGAAAGCUAGUAGUAUAGUAGCUUUGGUGUCAUUUGCAAUGAAGUGAGGCCUUCUAUUUAUAGGAAAAUUUAAGGAUGUGUUUGGCAUUUGGUAAACUUGAUUGGCAAGAUAUAAUCAUUGCAAGAAUAUUCUUCAUGAGAUAUUUCUUAUGCAAGUGGAAAAAAUCUCUCUUUGAUCCUUUUUUUGUCUUGAAUUAUUCUUUUGCUAAAUACACCCCUUUUUGUUUCUUUUUUCAUGUUGCAUGAGGACUUUGAAGAAAGCAUGAAGAAAUUUGAUUUUGAAGAAUGAAGACUUUGAAGAUUGAAGGAUUCAAGAAAGUCUUUGAAGCUUUUUUUUUCUUUUUUCUUGUAAUUCCAAUUCAUUUCACCUUAGAAUUGUA